CAGUCGCCGCGGGAAUACGAAGGGUGCAAGCGUUACUCGGAAUUACUGGGCGUAAAGCGUGCGUAGGUGGUUGUUUAAGUCUGCUGUGAAAGCCCUGGGCUCAACCUGGGAAUUGCAGUGGAUACUGGGCAACUAGAGUAAGGUAGAGGAUAGUGGAAUUUCCGGUGUAGCAGUGAAAUGCGUAGAGAUCGGAAGGAACAUCUGUGGCGAAGGCGACUAUCUGGGCCAUUACUGACACUGAGGCACGAAAGCGUGGGGAGCAAACAGGAUUAGAUACCCCAGUAGUCCCUGUCUCUUAUAC
rnacentral:rRNA from 1 species